UACGAAGGGGGGCUAGCGUUGUUCGGAAUUACUGGGCGUAAAGGGCGCGUAGGCGGUCGUGACAAGUCACUUGUGAAAUCUCCGGGCUUAACCCGGAGCGGCCAAGUGAUACUGUCGUGCUAGAGUGCGGAAGGGGCUACUGGAAUUCUCGGUGUAGCGGUGAAAUGCGUAGAUAUCGAGAGGAACACCUGCGGCGAAGGCGGGUAGCUGGGCCGACACUGACGCUGAGGCGCGAAAGCCAGGGGAGCGAACGGG
rnacentral:rRNA from 1 species